UGUAGCUCUCCUAAGGCAGCACUCCGGUCCUGUGGAGCUAUCUCCUCCUGUCCACCCGGAUCAGCAGCCAUUCAUCCAAAUGAACUGUCCCUCUUCAGACACUGCCAUUGGUCACCUUCACCUUCUAUCUCAUGUGUCACUUCCUUCGCUGUUCCCUGAGGACUUCGGCAAGUGUGCAGAGGAGGAAAUGAGAGGAACAAGACCCAGUGCAAUGGCUUUGAUUUUCAGUGCCCUCCAAAGAGCCACAUGUUAAAGAUUCCCAGCCCAUCGUGCUAUGGGGAAGUGGUGGAAGCUUUAAGAGAUGGGGCCUAAUGAGAGGUCUCCAGGUCACUAAGGGUCUGCCAUUGAAGGGGUGGGGGCACCUCGGUGUCUUUCUAUUGCUCUCUGACACGAGGUGAAUAGUUUUGCUCUGCCAUGCACUUCCAGCAUGACAUACUGUUGUGACAGGGCCAACUGAUCACUCCAAAGCUGCAAGCCAGAAUCUUUCCUCUUUAUAAAUUGAUUGUCUCAGGUAUUUGUUGCAAUAACAAAAAGCUGACUGUUACACCUCACAUCUGCUUUUGUAGCUCUCCCCAUUCACCCAUCAUCUCAAAAGGAAGCUUACAAGCCCAG